CAGCGGCGGCAGAGGGCAGCGCCCAGAACUGCUACGCCAAAAAGGGCAAAAGCGAGCCGGCCCCCGCCUCCCGCCCCCCGCCCCGGCGCUCCGGCUUCUUUCCACGGUUUGGAUCAUGGGCCCCUGCCUCCCCCUCUCCAUAAAAGGAGGGGGAGUGAGUCUCUGGUGAGAGGUGGGGCGGGUUUAGGGGUGCGUCUGGGGCACUCACCUGGCGGCUGCCACGCGCCCCCGCCCAGAAUCCGAUGACUGGGGCGUCUGACUGUGGAGCCUCCACCCACAGUCCACGAGGGGAGAGCGCCCAGGUCGGAGGAGGGGGCUGCAGCGUGCCUCGUCCCCACCCUGGGACCCCUCAUCCUCCAAGUCCCUGCUGCCUCGUGGAAAGCCGGGCGGCGGCCUGAGCCGGGAACUCGAGGGGUUGGAAGGCAAGGAAAAGAAAAGAGCCGCUCAUGAGGCACCCGGGAGUCUGAGCCUCCCGCGCCGGGAUCCGCUGGGCGCACAGAGCGCCACCUCCGGCCGCGGCGCCGCACAGAGCGAUGCGGGGGAGAGACGCGAGGGAGGCCGAGGCCUGAACUGGGCCGGACGGCUCCCCCGCCACCAAAGGGCGAUGCGCCGGGCUGGGUAGAUUCCGCCUGCCUAGACCUGGCGGGAUCGCACCCCGGCGGCGGGUCCCUCGAGGGGGCGGACGAGCCCCGGUAUCGCCUAGAGGGGUGACGUGCCAAGCGACCCCGAACCUAGACGGCGAGGCCGUUAGAGGCGAGGAGACUGCGGAGCGGUGGGCGGCCAAAGGAGAAUUCCGCCUGCCCUAGCCCUCCACCCCCACGCCCCCAUCCUGUGGAUUAGGCCCUUGCCCGCCGCGGCCGCCCUCCCGCCAAAGGCAGUAAAGGCUCAGCCCCGCAGGCGGUCUUUCAUCCUCGGCUCGGCCGGCUCUGGCAUUUCAAAGGCGGAGUCCAGUGGGCGCUUGGGGGGCGCUCGCCUUCCCCCAAAUUCCUGGGGGGAGGGGUGGGCCCCUCCUGCGAUUCCCAGUGGGCCGGGGCUACCAGCGCUCUUCCACUGGCCUCCACACACCUGCAGCCCCCCAACGCACCUGCCUCGUCUACCGUAGCCCCACCUGCGACCUCCCCCGUCAAGCGCGCUUUCAGGGGUCAGGAUGAAGGAUGACCGAGGCAGAACUAGGGAAACCUUGGAACCGUUUAAAAGCGCGUUAGAGCCAGCCCUUGUCCACCCAGGUGGACCUCCAUUGCUUCGGAGGGAGACCACUGGACGGUUUCUGGACGGCCGCCAAAAGCACACUGCCAGGACUCAGGCUGCACCCCAAGCAGAGCCCUCCGUGGCUCACUCAUCCUGAUUGCUGACUGCAGCACGUCUGGUUGAGCCUCGGAUUCCUCGCAGGCAGAGGGGACCCGAGGACACUUCUUUGGGGUGAAAGGACUCGGUUUGAUAGUGGGUGUGGGAAUGAAAGAGGAAAGGUCACCUUGUAUUGCACGGGGGGUGGGGGCAGGGGCCCUUCCGGCUCUAACCUCUGUACAGAGGCUCGCUGGUUCCUGGGUGUCCCGCCACCUUUGAGCAAACCUCGAAGGGUGAUUCCCUCUGUGCCCCAUCCCGGCCUGGCAAUUCAGGGGCUCUCAGUUCGAGUUUGGGGCGGAGGGGAGGAGAUCUGGGAACGCGGAAACGGGGGUGGGGGGCGCCUUCUACGGGAGCUCCAACCAAAGCUAGGCGGGGAGAGGGGCAGGCCUGGGUGCAUCCACCACCGGGACUGGAGAUCUGCGGGGGGGCGGCGCAGGCAUCCUUCUAAUCGCUGGCCGCUAUUAAAAAUAAAACCGCGGCGCGUCGUCAUAGCGACCACGACAACAGCGGCUGCGCGAGGGUGGCACAAACUUGUGCAGCCGCGCGACAGCCGUUUUGGGGGGAGACUCGGGGCACGACGCGCGUUGGCGCACCAAGGCCUGCCCUGGGGUGGGACAGGGACCGCCAACCCAGCCCGCCCCACCCUCCCCCCGGGUCCUCGGAAGAAACUGGCAGAAAUAGAUCCCUAGAAGCUGUUUCCUAGACCUUGGACUGUCUUGACCAAGAGGUCACCAACUUGGAUGAGAACCCACGCACGCGUGGACUCCCCAGCCCUGGCACCUCUCCCCAACACCCCUCCCCGUUUCAGACUCUGGCGUCCUCAUCUCUGGAGAAGGGGGCUAAGUGGGAAGGCGGUUUCGGAUGCUCGGCGGGAGAGGGGACCUCACUCCGGAGGCCGGGCGCGUGGGGGCUCCAGCACCUGCCCCUGUCGGCGAUCCUUGCAGCUCAGGCGCGGUCACAUGCUCCUUUCUGUCCGGGAAUCGAGUUUCACUUCCAGCCGCUAUUAGGCGGUUCGCACGGUUCACUGCAAACAUUUGAUAAAGAGGCUAAAUAUACAUUGGAGUCGGAGGAGGCGUGGGCGGCUGUGCUGAGCGCGUGGGCGCGGCGCUGCAGGCUCCGCGGGGCAUCCCCGCCCAGGGCGGGAGGCCGGCUCAGACCCCCGGCCAGUUCCCCGCCCCGCGUGCGCCCCCCUCCCCGCCCCCGCCACACACACACACACACACACACACUUCGGACCCCACACCCGGGACACGUGACCCGGGCAGGCUGCGGGCGCCCCCAGGCCAGCCAGAGGGCCCCUGGCGGAAGAAGGGGGCGCUGCGGGGAGCUCCGCGGGUCGGGGUGGGGAGGUGCCGGUGGGCGGUGAAGGCGCACCUGGCUGCCCGGGAUGUCCGGUCGCCCCCGGAGCCGGUGCUUCCGGACUAUCUCGGGCGUCCCCGACGUGCCGCGGACCUAUAAUUAAGGUGAGUCAGGUGCUCCGAAUAGGCGCAAAGGGGGGCUCCCGGCGCAGCUGGGGUAACUGUCUGGCCGUCUGCCCCUCGCUGGGUUCCCUUCGGCACCGCCCAUGGCCCCCGCACCCUGGGAGGAGAGGGAAGGGCCUUGGCCGUUCCUCAGAGGUGGUGGGCGGGGGGCUUCAGUAAGGACCUGUCAGCCAGCCCAGCACUUGGUGGUACGCAGCCAGCAUUUCACCCUACAAGCCCCCCUCACCCCACUCCCGCUCUGCCCUGUGCAGUGCCUGCCUGGGACCUGGCACCAGUCGGCGCUCCAUUAUUGCUCUCAUCAUUUUUUUCACAGUGGGAGUCAUGACUAAUAUCUACUGGGCACCUCGGUCCCUGAGUGACCCCUGGGAGUGGAGAGCUGCCCCACCUCCCAUUUGACAGAUACCAGGAAGUCAGGCAUUUGCCCACAGCCGCAGAACGCUGUCUGAGGCGGUCGCUCCUGGGCCGUGGCAGCUCUGGACGGGCUCUUCCUGUGCUCCAGAGGGGACCCUCGGGCCGGCUUGUCCUGCACUUCUCAGACAGGCAUGCCGGAUGAUGUGGCCACCUGACAGUGAAGGCAUCAGGACUGGAGCCCACGUCCACCUGAUCCCCAGUCCCAAGGUGCUCUAGCUGCCCUCUGCCCCUUGACCUUGGCCUUGGGGUGGUUUGUCCCCGCACUGCCUUGAGUCUGUUCUCUCAUCUGAAAAGUGGGGGCCGAUAACCUUACCAUGCCCGGCUGCCCCCCGCCAUUGAGCCUCCUGCCCACGAAGGCAGCAGCCUUGCGCACACGCGCAGGGCCCGGUGCCCUGAGGCAAGGGCACAGCCGCCCAGCUGCUUUCAUCUGGGUGGUGCAGGUGGGGGCCAGCGGGGCGUUCAGACCCAGGCCUCUGCCGGGUGCCAGAGCAGAUUUCAGAGCAAUUUGUAAUGACGAAACAGCGCAUUUCCCUUUAUCUCUGGGCAAGGAUUUCUUGGUUCAGGGCAAUUAAUCCAGGAGCAGCCUCAGCUGAGUGGGCACCGCUCCUUGAAGAUCAAAAGUGCCUGGCGGGUGUUAAUUAAGUCAUCAUCUCAGGCCGCCCCAGGCCCAGGCUCGGGAUCAGGCCUUUCCAGUCCAGCCUCCCCAGAAAGGGAGAUGAGGCAGCCAGCAGCCCAGGAGGGCACUCUCAAUGCUGAUUUUAACUCUCUAUUAGACAUUUUUAUUUUCCUUUUUCAAUACACAGACAGCAAUGGAGUUUCAAAUAGCACAUGAGCCCGCAGUCGUUUUGUGGCUGUUUUGUGAAUAAAGACCUAAGGGAAGGAGCACUGGGGGGGCUUCAGGAACCGAUGCCAGAUCUGGACUGUCCAGGACAGGAGCCACUAGCCACGCAAGGCCAUCGGGCAUUUGAAACAUGGCCGGUCUGAGCUGUGAUGUGCUGUUGUUAAUGUAAAACACACCCAGCGUCCAGGACUUGGUGUGAAAGUGAAGAGCGUAAAAUCUCUCGUCAAUAAUUUUGACAUUAAUUACCUGUUAAAAUGAUAAGAUUUUGACAUAUUGAGUUCAGUAAACUGUAUGAUUGCAAUUAAUUUCACCCAUUUGUUUUUCCUUUGUUUAAUGUGUUUACUAGAAAAUUUUAAAUUCCGUAUGUGGCUUUAAUGACGUUUCUACUGGACAAGGCUGGUCUAGACACCCGGAGCUCAUAUCUACUUGGUGGAGCUAAGCAGCACCUCAGAGCCUCAGCUGCCUCCUCUGGGUAGCAGCCAACUCACAGGGCCACUUGAGGAAAUAUUCACUCGUUCACGCAACAGAUAUUCUGUGCCAGGCACUGGGCGCGGCACAGGGAUGCAGCGCUAACACGAUGCCCUCAUGGAACACACAGUCUCUUCAGGGAGCAACAAACAAGUGACAAAACAAGUGUAUCAGGAAAUCUUUAAAUCACAUCAUCUGCCGGGGUCUUUGCUCAUGUUCUCUCGUCAGAAGACCAGGGAAGAUGCACAAAAGCAACACAUGGGGACAAAUUCAUGGAGACACUCUACUGCCGGCCAACAAUGAAAACGCAGCCCAGGGUCUGCUGUUUCCCAUGGCGAGGGGACACCGAGUGGGAGGGGAGGGGCCGUGGGAGCUGCUUUCCCAGCGGCUGCUGGCCGCGGUCAGAGCUGGCGGCCACUUGGAUCAGGAGCCGUGAAAGUGGCCAUGGUCCCUGACCCCAUAAUCCCACGUCUGGGCACCUAGCCUAAGAAAAUGACCCACAUACAGAACGGCCACAGACUAAAGGGUUCAGGGCAGUGCAACUUGAAAAAGCAAAAGUUGGAAACAACCUAAAACCCCAGGUGUGAACAGACUGUGUUUUCUUAACCCUUCCCCUCUGGUUAGAAAUGGCAUCCUUCCUUCAGGUGGCGGCUGUGAGGAUGGUUUCCUGCCACGUGGAAGCUCCGGUGAUGUGUCCUGUACUCUCACCCCUGUAUUCUCCUGCCGGGUUUUGAGCGCCCUGAUUUUCUUUCUUUCUUUCUUCUUUUUAACAUCUUUAUUGGAGUAUAACUGCUUUACAAUGGUGUGUUUCUGCUGUAUAACAAAGUGA